rnacentral:tRNA from 1 species
UCCCUGGUGGCUCAGAUGGUAAAGAAUCUGCCUGCAAUGCAGGAGACCCAGGUUCGAUCCCUGGGUUGGGAU